GUGAGGGACUUCUUCCCUUUUCCUGGGACCGCCCUGCCGGGCCAAUUCCCUGGCCUGCGAAGCCGCAUCUGCAAACACCCCCCACGCCCGGCCCGGCCCGGCCGCCCUCCGCGUGCCCGGCGGGCUGGAGCCUUCGCGUUCCCCCUCGGAGCCGGAGGCCGCCGGACGACCGCGUUCCGGGCGUCCCAAAAGCGGAGCUAUGGGCUUGGUCUCGUCGCGGGCUGGACGAACUGCUUUGGCGGGUGGGGGGCCCUCGAAGGUGUGGGGUGAAGGGACGGGUCGGACCCAGGGUGCCUCCUGCCCGGAGGUCCCCCGAGGCGCUUUCCCCAGCUCACCUCCCUCCACUCAGUCUCCAAGGUCGAGGGCGGCGGCGGGCAGGAUGCACACACCGCCACCACCACCCCCCGCCCGGGAGAACUUUGCAAAGCUUCUCCCCCAGGUCCUGCCCGCGUAGGCCCGGGUGCCAGACGCCUGGGGAGGCUUCAGGUCUGCUUUGUUUCAGUGGGAAGUCGUGCGGACUGAGGAGGGCCCAGGAGUCAGCCUGACAAUCUCUCCCUUGGGUUUACAAGCCCCCGAGGUUCUGGGUCAGGUUUGAAUAGGGAGGAGGGAGUGUGAGGUCCAAGUUGAUUCCAGUGGCAGGGUUGAAAGGUUGAUUCCAGAUGAUGCUUAAGGUCCCCGGAGGAGCUCUGGUCAUCUCACUCCCAGAGAUGACCUCCCUUCUUAUUAACUAAGGGUCCACAGCUAGAAAGCCAGGACACACCUCGCCAGCUUGUUGUGUGACCCCAGCCAGUGUCUUUCCUGCACUCGGCCUCCAGCUCUUUUCCCUUCAACACAGUGUAACCCAGGAGAGGAUCGAACCCUGGAAGUUUAGUAGUUCUCUCCAUGUCCAUCUACCGCUGAAGCUGGGAGGAUAGGUAUAAGGUCAAGCUCUGACUUGCUAUACCUGAAUGUCCUCCAAUGUCUAAUGACCUUAGACAAUGUGACUUCCUCCUCUGGGCCCCAAAUCCUCCUCCCGAAAAUAAAUGGUUUGGAGUAAAAUCAAAUUGGUCUGUGAGCGACCAGGUGAUCUUGAUCUGCCAUUGCCAAGACUCCAACCCCCAGUCGAGGUUUAUAGAUAAAAGCUGGGACUCCACUUCCGUUUAAGUUUGAGGAACCUAAGCCUGGAGCAUGGGUCCUGAGCACUUCCGGAACCGGCUGGCUCCAGCUGCCUCCAGCAUCCUUGUGGGAUGUGGUUCCUCCCCCCAUCCAAGCCGGAUUGCACCUUGGUACAAGCUGCGGCAGAGGCGUAGCUUGAUGGAGGGUAGAUUGGGCAGCCAGCACCGCGGUUUAUUCACUGACUGUGACUUCUUCAAAAGAGACAAGGGGAUACUCAUGGAGGACAUUCAGGGUGUUCAUGAUGAAUCCCCAUUUCACAGCCGAUGACAGUGAGGUUCAGGGAGGUGACGUGACGUGCCCCCAAGCCAUCCAGUAAAUAAAGAAGAGUUCUUUCACAAUCCCACGGGCCUGCUCCUUGGAAAUGUUAGCUGAUGAAGUGAUGAUGGGUGAGAGUCAGCCUCGCGGCUGGGAAAGGGCAAAGGGGCCAGGUGCCCUCUUUGGCCCACCAGGCCACGUGUCCAUGGGAGAAGCAGCCUGGCUCAGAGCCCAAGACCAGGACAUCAGGGGAAGGGUGGCCACCCUGCUUCAAGUCAGCCCAGCAGAGGCACCCCCCCCCCCCCACCC
ensembl:lncRNA